rnacentral:lncRNA from 1 species
GUUAACUCUUGGCAUCUUUUCGAUGAGACAGAUGGCAUUCUAUGGAGAUUGGGAAGUAAAGGUAAAUUCUCGACCAAAUCGGUAUAUUCCUAUCUGGAGAGAAAUCAGGCAGGAUGUGAUUUCAGGUGGAUAUGGAAAGCAAAAAUCCCUUUAAAAAUUCAGAUUUUUCUCUGGCAACUAUUCCAAGAUGCGGUUUUGACUCGAGAUGUCAUGAGAAGACGAAAAUGGGCAGGAAAUCCUAAAUGCUCGUUCUGUAAUGAAGUGGAAACCUCACAACAUCUCUUUUUCACUUGUCCUGUGGCUAGGGUGGUGUGGAGGACAGUUGGGUGUGUUUUUGGCACAUCGAUGUGCCCAAACAACCUUUGGCAGUAUUUCUCCUGGUGUUACAUCUUCCUCCCUGAUGGGGCUAAAUUUUAACUUUUGGUUUGGCAGCUAUGUGCUGGGCGAUUUGGAUCAGUCGCAAUCAGGCUACCUUUGAGCACAAGUCUCUUAAAAGUCCUUUUAAUGUGGUGUAUGCUGCUUGUGGUUUUUUGACAUACUGGGCAGGUUUGAUGGCUGGUGAGGACCGGGAGUCCAUGGAGCGUGGAGCCAAGAUGCUGAGGUCGAACGCGUCGGCGAUGAUGAGGAUCUGUGCACCACCGUCAACAACGAACUGAUGCUGUUGCACCAUCUAAGAAACUUCAUCAUUAUGUCUGCCUAGUUUGGUUAACUCCACUCCUGCGUGAGUGUUUUUGGUCUCCCUUGAGUUUGCCAGUGGGCAUGGUGGUGUUGGACUGUUAUAGCUCUUGCUGGAGUUUGCCUGGUUCUGUUAGGUCUAGAGGUUUUGCGUGAUGCUAGGUGUCACUGGGUUUUCGCCCCGCGAUGAGCUGCUCGAUGACGGGUGCUCAUAGUGGGUUUCCCAGUGAUGCUUUGAUCUCGCCUUACCCCUUUCUAGUUUCCUUAUGCUGUAGUCGUUUAUGUUGGGUCGUAUGUAGUGAACUUUGUAUUUCCGUUAUGCUUUUAAUGGAAAGGGGUUAUGGCCCGGGUCAAAAAAAA